CUCAUUUAAUUACUGUUGUCUGUACAUU
rnacentral:piRNA from 1 species